CAACUACUCCCUCUGUCCCAAAUUUCUUGUCUUAUAUUUGUCUAGAUACGGAUGUAUCUAAUACUAAAAUGUGACUUGAUACAUCCGUAUCUAGAAAAAUCUAAGACAAGAAUUUUGGGACGGAGGGAGUACUUU
rnacentral:pre_miRNA from 1 species